GACGAACGCUGGCGGCGUGCUUAACACAUGCAAGUCGAACGGUAAGGCCCUUCGGGGUACACGAGUGGCGAACGGGUGAGUAACACGUGGGUGAUCUGCCCUGCACUUCGGGAUAAGCCUGGGAAACUGGGUCUAAUACCGGAUAGGACCACUGCCUGCAUGGGUGGCGGUGGAAAGCUUUUGCGGUGUGGGAUGGGCCCGCGGCCUAUCAGCUUGUUGGUGGGGUGAUGGCCUACCAAGGCGACGACGGGUAGACGGCCUGAGAGGGUGACCGGCCACACUGGGACUGAGAUACGGCCCAGACUCCUACGGGAGGCAGCAGUGGGGAAUAUUGCACAAUGGGCGCAAGCCUGAUGCAGCGACGCCGCGUGAGGGAUGACGGCCUUCGGGUUGUAAACCUCUUUCAGCACCGACGAAGCGCAAGUGACGGUAGGUGCGGAAGAAGGACCGGCCAACUACGUGCCAGCCGCCGCCGUAA
rnacentral:rRNA from 1 species